AUUGAACGCUGGCGGCAUGCCUUACACAUGCAAGUCGAACGGCAGCACGGGAGCAAUCCUGGUGGCGAGUGGCGAACGGGUGAGUAAUAUAUCGGAACGUGCCCAGUGAUGGGGGAUAGCCCGGCGAAAGCCGGAUUAAUACCGCAUACGACCUACGGGUGAAAGCAGGGGAUCGCAAGACCUUGCGUCAUUGGAGCGGCCGAUAUCAGAUUAGCUUGNGGUGGGGUAAAAGCCUACCAAGGCGACGAUCUGUAGCUGGUCUGAGAGGACGACCAGCCACACUGGGACUGAGACACGGCCCAGACUCCUACGGGAGGCAGCAGUGGGGAAUUUUGGACAAUGGGCGCAAGCCUGAUCCAGCCAUGCCGCGUGCGGGAAGAAGGCC
rnacentral:rRNA from 1 species